AGGAUGGUGAGCUCAGAGAACCUUGAGAGAGGUGGGUACUGUGGUUGCACAGUUUCCUAGCUUUGGGGAAUUUCUAGUUUCCCUGAAUAGAGGUGCGAUCAAUACAGAAAGUCUUGAAAACUUGAGUAAAGGAAAGUCCGAGUAAAACCAAAGCUACUGUGGUGAAGGUAUCAGAAAAUCGAGGAAGAGCAAACAGUACAGCAUAAACUCACCACAAAAAAAGGUUGACUCUUCCCACUGUCAGUGACACCAUUCCUUAGGUGAGUGGUCUUGGGAUGUAUAAAAUAGCUAGCCAAGCAUGAGUAUGUGAGUGAGCCUGUGAGUGAGCCAGCAAGUGACUUUCCUCCAUGGGUCCUGCUUCAAGAUUUUGUUUAAAUUCUUGCUCUAACUUUCCCCAGUGAUGGACUGUGACUAGGAAAUAAAAAAAAUAAACCUUUUCCUCUACUAA